AGACGGCCGUGGAUCUGAGCCGGAGCCUCUAGCCACCCCCACCAGCUAAAGUCUGACUGGCAUUGUGUCGGACCGUGCAUGCUUACUACUACCACUAAGCUAUCGUGCGGUUGACUCAUCCAUUCAACUUAUACGCGCAGCAAACACGCACGCUUAGGUUGUAGUACUCUUUCUCUCCUUACCGCUCGUCUCUGGGGCCCAGCAACAGCAGCAGCAGGCGCGUGGGUCGCACGGGGGGACAACAGCGGACGCGCUAACACUAAGCCAUCAUCAUCCCUCCCAGGAUCGGUCACCCGGCGGUGGGUGGCUUCGUGCAUUAUACACUCGAACAUCGUAAAAUCGCACUAAAACAACUGCCAUCUUCCCACACUGUGAUGUGGACGUGGAGCUCUGAUUGUUUAUCUUUAUAUUUACUCCUCCAGUUUUGCACGUUCGGGGAAUUACGUUUCACGUCGUAUUCUCAGUUUGAAGUCUCCGUUAUCUUCCAAAUCCAUUGAAGGGAUGUAACAUUAUUAUUAUGUGCAUACAGUGUACUGCUCUCCAGCAUCCGCAGAAUUGGAAGGAUUACACUGCACAUUGUCCGUGAGCCAUGGUGCGGCGGAAUUUUUCACAGAGUGAAUUCGUUUUCCACGGGUGUUCGUUAGGAGCUCGAGUGUGUUACGGGAAGUGACCUACGGUCUUUAUCGAAACGAAAA